AAAAAGUGUUUUCCGCGUUGGACCGCAACAAGUCUGUUGGAAUACAGCGGCAUAGUGGUGAUACCCCAUUACACGGUGCGGACGCCCAGCGCUUUGUGAUACACUUUCGACGAGUCGAGUUGUUUGGGAAUGCAGCUCAAAUUGGGUGGUAAAUUCCAUCUAAAGCUAAAUAUUGGCGAGAGACCGAUAGCGAACAAGUACCGUGAGGGAAAGAUGAAAAGCACUUUGGAAAGAGAGUUAAAAGUACGUGAAAUUGUUGGAAGGGAAACGCUUGAAGUCAGACUUGCUUGCCGGGCUUGCUCGGUUUGCAGGCCAGCAUCAGUUUUCCGGGGCGGAUAAUGGCAGUUAGAAUGUAGCAGUCUCGGCUGUGUUAUAGCUUUCUGCUGGAUACGCCCUGGGGGACUGAGGAACGCAGCGUGCCGUAUGGCGAGGGCUUCGGCCCUUUCACGCUUAGGAUGCUGGUGGAAUGGCUUUAAACGA
rnacentral:rRNA from 1 species